rnacentral:misc_RNA from 1 species
GAUGAAGAACGUAGCGAAAUGCGAUACGUAAUGUGAAUUGCAGAAUCCAGUGAAUCAUCGAAUCUUUGAACGCACAUUGCGCCCGCCAGUAUUCUGGCGGGCAUGCCUGUCCGAGCGUCAUUUCAACCCUCGAACCCCUCCGGGGGGUCGGCGUUGGGGAUCGGCCCUUUCACCGGGUGCCGGCCCCUAAAUACAGUGGCGGUCUCGCCGCAGCCUCUCAUGCGCAGUAGUUUGCACACUCGCACCGGGAGCGCGGCGCGUCCUCGUCCGUAAAACACCCCAAACUUCUGAAAUGUUGACCUCGGAUCAGGUAGGAAUACCCGCUGAACUUAAGCAUAUCAAUAAGCGGAGGA